rnacentral:lncRNA from 1 species
GUCACACCUGCCACCUGAUUGUGUCUCUCCACCUGUUCCUCAUCUAUUGUAUUUUACCUUGUGUGUCUCACAGUCUUGUCGCCAGUUUGUUUCCAGCAUUCUCUUUCCAGCAUUUAUUCAUAGUUUCGCCAAGCAGUGCAUUACCUUUGCCUGCCUUUUUAGAUCUUGCCUUUUGCCUGACAUUUUUGAUACCUCUGCCUGAUCUGACUGCCUUUUUGUGUACCAACCUUUGCCUGAACCUCGUUAAACCCUGUCUGUUUGAUUAACUGUAUUGGUGUCUUGCCAUUGUAUCCUCCAGUCUGUGCUGUGGUUCGUGACAUACAGGACAUAUAAUGAGAAAAGUAAGUGCAAAAUUGCAUUUCUGAGUAUUUCUGCAUUCAAAUUGCUGUAUACCUCUGGCACAUCCAAACAAUAGGCUCAGACUACAUUUGCAUGUGCCCGGCUAUUUUCAUUAACUGAUAUUUCACCCUCUCCGUUUACAGAAAAAAAAAAAAACUGUGUGCACACCACUAUGUUUUCAGAAAAGUUUUUGUUUAAAUGAACUUGUGUAAACAUAUGCCAUCAAAAGCAUGCCAAACCUGUAGGUGGCAGUGUAGCGAGUAGCUCAAGCCCACGAUAGCCAAUCAAAUUCCUGCAUUGCAGCAACAACAUCUCUCCUCUUCCACAUAGUACAGCACUUGUAUUUGCAAAUGCAAAAAAAUACAAAAGGAUGGCACCAGCAUAAAUGUGACUGCUAUUCUGCAUGCAUCCAUGAUCACCAAAGAUUGUAAACACAGACUGUAGAUUGUAAACAGCAUCACAUUUAACUCAGUUUCAGCGCACAAUCUGCCAUCGGCUAACCAAGGGCCUAUUUUACGAAGCAAGUUCGACCUAGCGAGGUAGCCUUGGAGCUACCUCGUUCAACUUAGCGCGGUAGCCAGCGGUCUCGCUAAACAGUCUUACAACACUGGUUAUCAACCUACUAAGUGGAUCCAGCUUUGCUAUGAGCGCGUGCACGCAUUUAAGGCGAAGCCCGCUGCAUCUGACCAACCGCGAACAUGGACCAGUCUGGAGCGUCAGAGCAGGCCAGAGAGCGAAGGACCGCAUACUUUACAAAUGGGGAGCAGGAGAAAGUAUGAAGAAUUCAAAUCUAUUAUAAACCUCAAAAGCAACACUGUCGCCGCUGCAAAAGCACGGAAGGAAUUCUGGCAGAAAAAAAAGUGUAGUGCGCAAAAAAUCUUUGAUGCCAUUGUCACCCUGAAAUAGCACUGUUCAACAUGCGCUUUUAACAUGCACCAGACGUGUCUAAUUCAUUUCCAAGAUGAAUUCAUUAAUUUGUUUAUUUCUAUCAUGUUUGCAUUUUUUUGUGUGGUAUGUAGGCCAUAUGAGCCUUUUAUAAAGGUGGUCAUCCGGAAAAGUAAGUGGGUCUGUGCAGUCGCUGAAAACCUUCACGCGCCAGAGUGCUCCUCAGACAAUGCAAGCACCGAGGUCUAUAGGAUCCUCCAAGAACGGACAAGCUAUUUUUUGAGAGAGCUCAUUGGUCAGUGGGUGGGGUUUUUUUACUCGUGAGUUCAAUCUGGAACCUAACCUGCCCCGGAGCAGGUUAGCCAUUCAGGGUACGUUGUCAUGAAGACUCAUCUCGCUAAGAAGUGAACCCGCGUUGUAGAACAGGAAACCCCGAAUUUACUCUUGAAGUUACCUUGCUAAGCAGUAAUCCUGCUUCGUAAAAUAGGCCCCAAAUCUCUGUUUUUCUCUGUUUACAUGUCAAACGUGCAAACAGAGUUCCAAAAUCUCCCCUCUGGCUGGAGAUUUUAAAAAGCAUCAUUUUCAGGGGCGAAGUCUCCGUUUGCAUCGAAACAAAGGGUGACAAUGAUGGUUAAUGUCUGGUUAAUAGUGUUUGUCGAGCAUCAUUGGUUGUCAAAAAUGCUCAGUUGGGAAGUCAGAUGAGAAAAAUGAUUUGUGGCCAAAUCUGAAUUUCAAAUCUAAAACCCUUUGUUUUUCUGUCAGUUAUUACGAAUACUGUUUUUUUAAAAAGUAGGUAGCGUCAAGGUGCCAUUUUUCGGCCCAUUAGUUCCCACCUGUCAUUUUCUUAAAGGAAACGCAUUAGUGUAACACAGCUGAGUUGGAGCUGCUGAUCAUACGCUGAUUAUGUGGGGCGGGGCAGUAAAUGACAAAAAAAAAAAAAAAACUGUAGCAACAAAUGGGCACAAAACAGGGUGACUAUAAGUGACUAUCAUGCAAUGCAGAUUGUUAUUUUGAUUACGAUAGUUUUCCCACGAAUAAAAUAAUUUUGAGUAUCUGGUAUGAUAAUUUCAUCUGGCAAAACUGCUCAGACAGUAGAGACGACGAUCGCGGAACAAGCAUGUGUGUAAGCGGAUUGCAAUGCUCGUAAGAAAGCUAAUUAUGUCAUUAUGUCCCAGAAGACACCAGUGUCUCAGAGUUGAACAGCUACGAUGUUACCUGCCACUUCUACUACACCGGUAAUGUUAGGCUCCAAUCUAGCGUGAAGAGAAGUGUGCAGAGCAGCGCUGUCUCCACCCACGACUGAGAGGCGAAUUGCAAAUGAGCUGCUGGAGCUCUACAGAAGAAAAGCCCUUGAAAAUGACACAGGUGACAUGCUUUUGGCAAAAAAAAUCAUAAUCACAAUUUAAAGACCACAGAGAACACUUUAAGCAGUAAAAAAAAGAGUAAUUGGAUUGGGACACACACACAUAUAAUAAUAAUAAUAAUAAUAAUGACUUUAUUUUAUCCCCAAAGGGAAAUUCAAUUGUUUGUGGUUUUACAGUUUUGUUGUAGAUUAAAUUAUGUGUGUGUGUGUGUGUGUGUGUGUGUGUGUGUGUGUGUGUGUGUGUGUGUGUGUGUGUGUGUGUGUGUGUGUGUAAUCCAUAGACUGUUUAUACUAUGGACAACUUGGUUGUAUACAGAUUUGAAGCCAAAAAGCUCUCAGUAUUUCUGGGAUUUUUCUUCAUUUCCUGAAACCAGCAUUGUGCAGUAGCAUUGUGUGCAUUCGGUGGGAAAGUCGUCGAGAGGCACUGUGAUGACAGUUAGCUCAAACAGCGUAUCCCCCCUGGUGAGCUAUGCAAUCCCUGAAUGCCAAUAGGCUGUAGCAGGUGUCAAUCAGAGAAAACAUGAACCCCCUAAUAACUUUUAAAAACGGAGCUUCACAGAAAAAAAAGGACUUGAGCACAAACCAGUCUUACUGUAACUGCAUGUCAACAUCGCAAGCAAUGGGAAGAAAAAUUUAUGUUCUGUGUAGUAAAUUUCUAAAGUUUGUCCACAGCUCCAUAAGCUAUGCUGGCAGAAGCGGGAUUUAUGACCUAUACUGCAGCCCGUCAACAGAGGGUGUUGUUCUCGGAGUGGCUUCACCCAGCAAGGAGGCAGACGCUGUCCAUUCUAUAUACAGUCUAUGGUAUAAUCACAAUCCAGAAUCUAUAUGACAUACCUGCCAACAUUUGGGUUUGUAAAAUCUGUAUAUUUAUAAGUAAUAAGUAUAAGUGAAGCUGCACACUUUUUUGUUUUGUUUUAACAAAAACAAAUGGUAACAAAAAAAAAAAGAAUGGCUACGAUAUGCCUUGAACUUAUUUAGUCCACUAAUAUUGCUGUUAAAGUCCUCAUAUGUUUGAAUGCUCUUCUGUAUGAGGCUCUCUGAACAUCAGUGUGUGCAAUACAGCACUCUUUUAUCUGAGGCUGCCCUGAACGCAUCACUCCCAGAUGGUGCAAGACUCUCAACAUAAAUGUUAUAUCUCACGAUUAUUUACCUUUCAUUGAAGUGUUCAUUUUGCAAAUUACGCUGCUUAAAUAUAGUUUACAGCUUAAACCGACCUGAACUCCUGACUCCUCCUCCUGACUGGUGAACAUGCACAUUGGAUGAUUCCGUUCCUUGCUGUUGAACUGUGUGUGUAGUGUUUUGCUCCUCCUGAUAGCGUUCUUGCUAUUUGGGUUAUUUUCUCUUUUUAAUUUAUCAAUACAUCUGUUUGUUUAAAAGUCUGUGAGUAUAUCUGAUAGUUUUCACCAAGCACUGUCUUUAUCUCCAAAGACGUUUAUCCAGAAAUCUGGCCGAUUUUAUUAGUCCUUAUCACUGACAAUUUAGAGCGGAGACUAGGGAGCAGAGCCACAGUCCUACACGCUCCUCUGCAUUCCCCUCAGAGCAACUGCCUAGCUACAAUCAGUUUGAUAUAGAGACCAGGGAGCAGAGCUACAGUCCUACAUGCUUCUCUGCACUUUUGUUAGAGCAGCCUCCUCGUUAGUAUCACUUUAAUAAAGAGACUGUGUCUGUCCCUCAUCCUCGGCUCUUUAAUUCUAACUGAUCGAUUAACAAAGGAGUAAAAAACAAGAAUCUUACUAGAAUUAAAACUGCUAACAUAGCUGAACUGAGUAGUAAGAUAAAGUGUGGUCUACUGAACAUAAGGUCUCUAAGUUCCAAAUUUGUGUUAAUAAAUGAACUAAUCUCUGAUUACUCUCCCUGACUGAAACUUGGCUGUGUCAGGAUGAAUAUGUCAGUUUAAAUGAAUCCACUCCUCCUAGCCACCUAAGCCUUCACAUUCCUCAGGACUCUGGCCGAGGUGGUGGAGUUGAAGCAAUCUUCGAAUUAACCUUAGACCAAAACUGGAUUAUAACUCUUUUGAAAAUCUUGUCCUGGGGUAGGGCUGUGUUCAAAAAAUCGAUACGGCAGGAUAUCGUCACGAAUUUUUGCUGAUACUUGCAUCAAUACACACUUUAAAAUAAUCAAUAUUUCCACAGAUGCUGGGACUGGCGUUUCAAGACGUUUUUUUAGGUGCAGUACACAUAGCGGCCAGAGUUGGCAGCAGAAGCCGAUCUACACAUUUUCACCAAAAUAGAAGAAGUAUGGAAGAGAAAGUUUACCCACCACCGUCCAAGUUAAAAGCAAAGAUAUGGGCGCAUUUUGGAUUUUUGAGAUCAGCCGGAGGUCAGGAGUUGGACAUGAGC